rnacentral:lncRNA from 1 species
GUUAAACUGGAUCUCACUGGAUCCUUCACUGCUAAAGGUACCUUACUUGGGAUUUACAAUCGACAGGGGUCCGAACGCAGCCCGGGAAAAGAAAGAAAGCAGGACCCCCAUCGCAGGAGUCGGAGGCACCCCCCGCGAGGCGGGGACUGAGAGAGAGCUCCUCUUCCCCCCCAGGAUCUUAGGACCCCCAUCGCGGGGGGGGAGGCACUCCCGCCAGGAUCCCCAUCGCAAGGGGGGAAGACACCGCCCACGAGUCGGGGACUGAGAGCCAGCCCCUCUUCCCCCGCUGGCUUAGGACCCCCACCGCGGAUUCUAAGAUCCUUAGCACCCACCUGGAGGACUGGGGGUUUUAGGUGUCCAAGAAGAAAGCUCAGACCUGCCGACCGCAGGACCUCCAUCGCAGCGGGGCAGGCACACACCGCGAGGCGGGAACUGAGAGCCAGCCCCUCCCACCUCUGGCUCUUAGGACUCACAUUGCAAGUGGGGGAGGCAUCCUCCGCGAGGCGCGGACUGAGAGCCAGCCCCUCUUCCCCCCCUGGCUCUAGGGACCCCCAUCGCAGGGGGUGGAGGCACCCCACGCGAUUCGGGGACUGAGAGCCAGCCCCUCUCCUUCCCCCUGCUCUUCGGACCCCCAUCGCAGGGCGGGGAGGCACCCACCGCGAGGCGGGGACUGAGAGCCAGCCCCUCUACCCCCCGUGGCUCUUAGGAGCCCCAUCGCAGGGUGGGAGGCCACCCGGCGAGGCGAGGAUUGAGAGCCAGCCCGUCUUCCCCCCUUGGCUCUUAGGAGCCCCAUCGCGGGUGGGGAAGGCACCCCCCGCGAGGCAGGGACUGAGAGCCAGCCUCUCUUCCUCCCGUGGCUCUUAGGACCCCCAUCGCAGUGGGGGGAGGCACCCCCCGCGAGGCGGGGACUGAGAGCAAGCCCAUUUCCCCCCCCCCCGGCUCUUAGGACACCCAACGCAGAGGGGGGAGGCACCCCCUGCGAGGCAGGAACUGAGAGCCAGACCCACUUCUCCCCGGCUCUUGGGAUCCCCAUCGCGGGGAGGGGAGGCACCCCACACGAGGCGGGGACUGAGAGCCAGCCCCUCUUCCCCCCCUGGCUAUUAGGACCCCCAUCGCAGGGGGGAGAGGCACCCCCCGAGAGGCAGG